CCAAUCCCACAAAUGCCUCUGCUCUCACGAAUUUAUUACCCUUGGGAGAGCCUCAGCAAGACAGUACUUGAUGCAUUGGAAGCAGACAAUGUUCUGCUUCCCUCUCAACGACAAGAAGUGGCACACAUGGCAGCGUCAUGGCCCUGCAUAUCCAUUGAAGGUGGGAGGCACUCCUGAUAUUUAUUCACAGGCACCUGGUUGGUAUCAUUGAGAACGAAGGGAGCCAGCAGGCAUAAAAAAAUCAAGACGGCUACAUACAUAAAUGCGUGAGGCAGUGAGGGCAGCAGAUGAAUAUAGCAAGAAGUGGGAACAUCUCAUGUGAUACAUAGCGGUCAAAUGUUCCGCCACCAAAGUCAUGCACAAGUUAUUUGUAGUCUUUCCAGUAAUUUCCAAAAUAAAGGGUUAUUAUUGAAAAGCUAUCCUCUCUGGACACACAAAACAUGAGAAUUGAACAAUUAACAAUGAAACAAAAUCUCUGGACAUCUCGCAUUGAUCA